rnacentral:rRNA from 1 species
UACGAAGGGUGCAAGCGUUACUCGGAAUUACUGGGCGUAAAGCGUGCGUAGGUGGUUUGUUAAGUCUGUUGUGAAAGCCCCCGGGGCUCAACCUGGGGAAUGGCAAUGGAUACUGGCAGGCUAGAGUGCGGUAGAGGGUAGUGGAAUUCCCGGUGUAGCGGUGAAAAUGCGUAGAGAUCGGGAGGAACACCAGUGGCGAAGGCGGCUACCUGGACCAGCACUGACACUGAGGCACGAAAGCGUGGGGGAGAAACAGGGAU